AAACUGAGAGUGAGGUGGCUCAGCCUGCAUGUGAAGCUCUGUAACAUGCUUUUAAUUGUAAAGUAUUUUAUUUGGUUUUAUCCAAAUUUUAAUUGGGGAUAUUUUACUGUUUUUAUCCAAAUUUUAAUUGGGGAUAUUUUACUGUUUUUAUCCAAAUUUUAAUUGGGGAUAUUUUAUUGUUUUUACUAGAACAAACUGAGAGUGAGGUGGCUCAGCCUGCAUGUGAAGCUCUGUAACAUGCUUUUAAGGGGAAAAAAGUAUUUUAUUUGUUUUUAUCCAAAUUUUAAUUGGGGAUAUUUUACUGUUUUUAUCCAAAUUUUAAUUGGGGAUAUUUUAUUGUUUUUACUGGAACAAACUGAGAGUGAGGUGGCUCAGCCUGCAUGUGAAGCUCUGUAACAUGCUUUUAAGGGGAAAAAAGUAUUUUAUUUGUUUUUAUCCAAAUUUUAAUUGGGGAUAUUUUACUGUUUUUAUCCAAAUUUUAAUUGGGGAUAUUUUAUUGUUUUUACUGGAACAAACUGAGAGUGAGGUGGCUCAGUCUGCAUGUGAAGCUCUGUAACAUGCUUUUAAUUGUAAAAAGUAUUUUAUUUGUUUUUAUCCAAAUUUUAAUUGGUGAUAUUUUACUGUUUUUAUCCAAAUUUUAAUUGGGGAUAUUUUACUGUUUUUAUCCAAAUUUUAAUUGGGGAUAUUUUACUGUUUUUAUCCAAAUUUUAAUUGGGGAUAUUUUAUUGUUUUUACUAGAACAAACUGAGAGUGAGGUGGCUCAGCCUGCAUGUGAAGCUCUGUAACAUGCUUUUAAAGGGAAAAAAGUAUUUUAUUUGUUUUUAUCCAAAUUUUUAUUGGGGAUAUUUUACUGUUUUUAUCCAAAUUUUAAUUUGGGAUAUUUUACUGUUUUUAUCCAAAUUUUAAUUGGGGAUAUUUUACUGUUUUUAUCUAAAUUUUAAUUGGGGAUAUUUUAUUGUUUUAUUGGAACAAACUGAGAGUGAGGUGGCUCAGUCUGCAUGUGAAGCUCUGUAACAUGCUUUUAAUUGUAAAAAGUAUUUUAUUUGUUUUUAUCCAAAUUUUAAUUGGGGAUAUUUUACUGUUUUUAUCCAAAUUUUAAUUGGGGAUAUUUUAUUGUUUUUAUCCAAAUUUUAAUUGGGGAUAUUUUAUUGUUUUUACUGGAACAAACUGAGAGUGAGGUGGCUCAGCCUGCAUGUGAAGCUCUGUAACAUGCUUUUAAGGGGAAAAAGUGUUUUAUUUGUUUUUAUCCAAAUUUUAAUUGGGGAUAUUUUACUGUUUUUAUCCAAAUUUUAAUUGGGGAUAUUUUAUUGUUUUUACUGGAACAAACUGAGAGUGAGGUGGCUCAGUCUGCAUGUGAAGCUCUGUAACAUGCUUUUAAGGGAAAAAAGUAUUUUAUUUGUUUUUAUCCAAAGUUUAAUUGGGGAUAUUUUACUGUUUUUAUCCAAAUUGUAAUUGCGGAUAUUUUACUGUUUUUAUCCAAAUUUUAAUUGGAGAUAUUUUACUGUUUUUAUCCUAAUUUAUAAGUUGAGGCAGGUCAUUUUAUGAUUAUUUGAGAAAUGAGGGACUUUUUACAUUAUUUUAUCCAUUUGGGUGUGGGGGACAAAGGGAAUAUUUUGCUUUUUAAGACCAAAUUUUAAUUUAUACAGGAGACCUUUUUUUUAAUCUUUUUUUUAGUUAAAUGUUGAGCCCCCAAGUCAAAUCAAAGACUUAAAAACUGGUACUCCAAAAGGAAAAGAUAGGUGACCUACUGUGGGCAUUUGUCUUGGUGAACUAGCACCUUAAAGUCCAGCUAACCCACAGGCCAGCUGGCUAGUACAAGCAGACAGGUAUUUUUAAUACCAUUUGGCAUUUUUAAACUUUGGCAUUUUUCAUUUGGCUUUUUGUUUUACGUGUUUUGGAUUUAUACCAUUUGGCAAUUUUCAUUUAUGUUUUUUUCAUUUUUUUCAACAUAUUUUGUAAUCAACACACCAAAAACACUUCAAAAUUAAGAGUGGGAUAUAUACUUUUUGGCCUCCAUAAUGUUUAUCAAUCAAAACAGCAUUCUAUUUUCAAAUUUACAUUACACAAUUUGGCUUUCUGUAACGUUGGCUGUUAAUCUUUUGUAUGAAUGCUAUGAUGACCAUUAUGUGUAGAAAAUAAGACUACAUUUCUAAAAGUGGCUCAGGUUCAUAUAUUUAUGUUUGAUAUCAAUCAGUUCUAAAUUUCCUUCACAUUUCUAAAAUUUAAGAUCUUCCAUAUCUGGUACAUCUUAUAAUAUCGUAUUCAUCUACUAACCCAAUUUUCUCAUAGGGACUUAACACGAAGCAGAAGGGGUAUAGGUGGUAGGUGGUUAAGGGUGUUAUGAUAGGGUGAAAGGGUGAGAAAGGGAGGGAGAAAAAUAGAAUGAUGGAGAGGGUGAGGGUAUAUGAUUGUGAGUGGAAUAUAGAGAGGGAGUUAAUCUGUGAGAGAAUGUGAUUUCAUAGUAAGGGCAGGGUGUACUGGUCUGGAAGUAUAGUUUCUGUUUUGUCUCAUGUAGUUUCUGUUUUCUACAUCAAUCUGAUAAGUUUAAAUAUUGAGAAAUUGCUGUCGUUUAAAAGUUCACAGGUUAACAGCCUUU